AAUCAACGCUGGCGGCGUGCCUAACACAUGCAAGUCGAACGCGAAAGGGGAGCAAUCCCUGAGUAGAGUGGCAAACGGGUGAGUAACACGUGGGUGACCUGCCUUCGAGUGGGGGAUAACGUCCCGAAAGGGACGCUAAUACCGCAUGACAUCCUGCUCUUGGAAGAGCGGAGAUCAAAGCUGGGGAUCGCAAGACCUGGCGCUUGAAGACGGGGCCCGCGCCUGAUAGCUAGUUGGUAGGGUAACGGCCUACCAAGGCAACGACCAGUAUCCGGCCUGAGAGGGCGGACGGACACACUGGGACUGAGACACGGCCCAGACUCCUACGGGAGGCAGCAGUGGGGAAUUGUUCGCAAUGGGCGCAAGCCUGACGACGCAACGCCGCGU
rnacentral:rRNA from 1 species